CGCUGGCGGCGUGCUAAUACAUGCAGUCGAGCGAGGCCGCCGGUGGCACACCGGGUUGGUUCUAGCGGCGAACGGGUGAGUAACACGUGGGCAACCUACCCCCGACACCGGGAUAAGCCCGGGAAACUGGGUCUAAUACCGGAUACGAGCUCCCACCGCAUGGCGGGAGCUGAAAGGGUCUCCGGUCGGGGAUGGGCCCGCGGCCUAUCAGCUUGUUGGCGGGGUAACGGCCCACCAAGGCGACGACGGGUAGCCGGCCUGAGAGGGUGGACGUGCACACUGGGACUGAGACACGGCCCAGACUCCUACGGGAGGCAGCAGUAGGGAAUCUUGUCCAAUGGGCGCAAGCCUGAGACAGCGACGCCGCGUGCGGGACGAAGGCCUUCGGGUUGUAAACCGCUUUCAGCAGGGACGAAGCGAGAGUGACGGUACCUGCAGAAGAAGGUCCGGCCAACUACGUGCCAGCAGCCGCGGUAAUACGUAGGGACCGAGCGUUGUCCGGAUUCAUUGGGCGUAAAGCGCGCGUAGGCGGCCAGAUAAGUCCGGUGUGAAAGUCAAAGGCUCAACCUUUGAAUGCCGCUGGAAACUGUCUGGCUCGAGUCCGGGAGGGGCGAGUGGAAUUCCUGGUGUAGCGGUGAAAUGCGCAGAUAUCAGGAGGAACACCAAUGGCGAAGGCAGCUCGCUGGAACGGAACUGACGCUGAGGCGCGAAAGCGUGGGGAGCGAACAGGAUUAGAUACCCUGGUAGUCCACGCCGUAAACGAUGGGCACUAGGUGUGGGAGGUGUCGACUCCUCCCGUGCCGUAGCUAACGCACUAAGUGCCCCGCCUGGGGAGUACGGCCGCAAGGCUAAAACUCAAAGGAAUUGACGGGGACCCGCACAAGCAGCGGAGCAUGUGGUUCAAUUCGACGCAACGCGAAGAACCUUACCUGGGCUUGACAUGUAGGUGACAGCCGUGGAAACACGGUCUCCCUUCGGGGCACCUUCACAGGCGGUGCAUGGCUGUCGUCAGCUCGUGCCGUGAGGUGUUGGGUUAAGUCCCGCAACGAGCGCAACCCCCGCCCCAUGUUGCCAGCGGGUAAAGCCGGGGACUCAUGGGGGACUGCCGGUGACAAACCGGAGGAAGGUGGGGAUGACGUCAAGUCAUCAUGCCCCUUAUGUCCAGGGCUACACACGUGCUACAUUGGCCGCCACAGAGGGCUGCGAUACCGCGAGGUGGAGCGAAUCCCUAAAAGGCGGUCUCGGCUCGGAUUGGAGGCUGAAACUCGCCUCCAUGAAGGUGGAGUUGCUAGUAAUCGCGGAUCAGCAAUGCCGCGGUGAUAAUCUCCCGGUGUUGUACACACC
rnacentral:rRNA from 1 species